rnacentral:lncRNA from 1 species
AUAUUUUCAAUGAAUAAUAUUUUUCUAAAUGUGUUAUAUUUGAUCUAUACAUAUAUUAGUAUGUUUAAUGAUUAUUUUGUUCUUCCAAGAUUAUUAAUAAAGGGAAUGGAUACUUGCUAAUUGCUGUCACCCAAAUUACGUGGAUAUCCAAAUUGAAAUCCAAAUUUGAGCUAUCUGUUUUGCAUUCGCAUUCAACAACAUCUGAAUUCGAAUUCAUAUUCGAGUAGAAAUAUAGUAAAAAGUGCUUUCCGAAUUUGAUUCCAUGCAAACCCGAUCUGAUUUCCAUCCCUACGGCUGGAAUGUUUCGAUUUCCUUACGUGCUACAGCUACAGCACUCGCUCCACCCUCCCAUUCAUCUCCCAUCAUCUUCACCAGCUGUCUCAUCAUGGAUCCAAACAUGCCACCACCUUCUACGGCAAUGAAUUUAUAUAUGGACUCCCCUCCUGCAUCCAUAAUCCUCCAGAGUUUCUUCAUCACUAUACCAAAAAGAAUUCAUACCAAUAAAU